AGAUUGAACGCUGGCGGCAUGCCUAACACAUGCAAGUCGAACGGGAGUAGCAAUACUCUAGUGGCGGACGGGUGAGGAAUACGUAGGAAUUUGCCCUUAAGUGGGGGAUAACCCGGGGAAACCCGGAUUAAUACCGCAUGACCUCGAAAGAGCAAAGUGGGGGAUCGGCAAGACCUCACGCUUUUGGAGAAGCCUACGUCGGAUUAGCUAGUUGGUGAGGUAAUGGCUCACCAAGGCGUACGAUCCGUAACUGGUCUGAGAGGAUGAUCAGUCACACCGGAACUGA
rnacentral:rRNA from 1 species